UACGUAGGGGGCUAGCGUUGUCCGGAAUCAUUGGGCGUAAAGCGCGUGUAGGCGGUCCGGUAAGUCCGCUGUGAAAGUCGGGGGCUCAACCCUCGGAUGCCGGUGGAUACUGUCGGGCUUGAGUACGGAAGAGGCGACUGGAAUUCCUGGUGUAGCGGUGAAAUGCGCAGAUAUCAGGAAGAACACCCGUGGCGAAGGCGGUUCUCUGGGACGGUACUGACGCU
rnacentral:rRNA from 1 species